rnacentral:rRNA from 1 species
UACCAGACUCCUACGGGAGGCAGCAGUGAGGAAUAUUGGUCAAUGGUCGGGAGACUGAACCAGCCAAGCCGCGUGAGGGAUGAAGGUACAGAGUAUCGUAAACCUCUUUUGUCAGGGAACAAAGGCGGGGACGUGUCCCCGGAUGAGUGUGCCUGAAGAAAAAGCAUCGGCUAACUCCGUGCCAGCAGCCGCGGUAAUACGGAGGAUCCGAGCGUUAUCCGGAUUUAUUGGGUUUAAAGGGAGCGUAGAUGGGUUGUUAAGUCAGUUGUGAAAGUUUGCGGCUCAACCGUAAAAUUGCAAUUGAUACCGGCAGUCUUGAGUACAGUUGAGGUAGGCGGAAUUCGUGGUGUAGCGGUGAAAUGCAUAGAUAUCACGCAGAACUCCGAUUGCGAAGGCAGCAUACCGGCGCGCAACUGACGCUCAUGCACGAAAGCGUGGGUAUCGAACAGGAUUAGAUACCCUAGUACG